rnacentral:misc_RNA from 1 species
UACAGAGGGCGCAAACGUUGCUCGGAAUGACUGGGCGUAAAGCGCGUGCAGGCGGCGGGUUAAGUCGACUGUGAAAGCCCAUGGCUCAACCAUGGAAGUGCAGCCGAUACUGGCUCGCUCGAGUCCCGGAGAGGGUGGUGGAAUUCCCAGUGUAGAGGUGAAAUUCGUAGAUAUUGGGAGGAACACCGGUGGCGAAGGCGACCACCUGGACGGGUACUGACGCUGAGACGCGAAAGCGUGGGGAGCAAACAGG